CCUACGGGGGGCAGCAGUGGGGAAUAUUGCACAAUGGGCGCAAGCCUGAUGCAGCCAUGCCGCGUGUGUGAAGAAGGCCUUCGGGUUGUAAAGCACUUUCAGCGGGGAGGAAGGCGGUGAGGUUAAUAACCUCAUCGAUUGACGUUACCCGCUGAAGAAGCACCGGCUAACUCCGUGCCAGCAGCCGCGGUAAUACGGAGGGUGCAAGCGUUAAUCGGAAUUACUGGGCGUAAAGCGCACGCAGGCGGUCUGUCAAGUCGGAUGUGAAAUCCCCGGGCUCAACCUGGGAACUGCAUUCGAAACUGGCAGGCUAGAGUCUUGUAGAGGGGGGUAGAAUUCCAGGUGUAGCGGUGAAAUGCGUAGAGAUCUGGAGGAAUACCGGUGGCGAAGGCGGCCCCCUGGACAAAGACUGACGCUCAGGUGCGAAAGCGUGGGGAGCAAACAGGAUUAGAUACCCGGGUAGUC
rnacentral:rRNA from 1 species